GCCCAUUGUUGAGAAAUGAACUGCUCCAACUUAUGGCUUGGAAAAAGCAGUAGCCCAUUGGUGUAUGUCGAUAAUAGGCCAGAGUGAUACGUUGGUUACCUCUACAGCAGAAGCACUAGACAGACAUAAAACAAUUGUGUGGCAACCUGAAGAUGUUCUAGCAGUGUUUGAUUUUGAUAAUUUAUUCCCUUCUUUAAGGCUAAAACCAGUCUGCUUAGCAUUAUACAGGUUCAUGAUAGAACUUAAGAUACGUGCCAGGAAGAGAGAAGCUUUUAAGGGAUACAGCAUAUUUGCUGUGUUAUCGGUCAUAUUUCCAGUUUAGAAGUAAGUUCUAUCAAUAGAUGAAGGAAUUACCAAUAAAUAG
rnacentral:lncRNA from 1 species